UACGUAGGGUGCGAGCGUUAAUCGGAAUUACUGGGCGUAAAGCGUGCGCAGGCGGUUAUGUAAGACAGAUGUGAAAUCCCCGGGCUCAACCUGGGAACUGCAUUUGUGACUGCAUGGCUAGAGUACGGUAGAGGGGGAUGGAAUUCCGGCGUGGUAGCAGUGAAAUCGUAGAUAAUGCGGAGGAACACCGAUGGCGGAAGGCAACUCC
rnacentral:rRNA from 1 species